GAUGGAACCGAAAGAAAAUCAACGUUGAUGAUGAUUAUUUAUAUAAUAUAGCGCUAUAUAUUACAAGAAAUAAUGAGGAUCAUGAAUCAAAGUCUAUUAAGAAUUAUAGACAAUGAAAUUAUUGACUAAAUAGAUAGACGUGAUUGAUACAAUAUUAAAGUAGCUUUGCAAAGCGAAAUGUUUUUGGACUAGUAGUCCAUUUCAUCUG
rnacentral:lncRNA from 1 species